CCUACGGGCGGCAGCAGUGAGGAAUAUUGGUCAAUGGACGAGAGUCUGAACCAGCCAAGUAGCGUGAAGGAUGACUGCACUGUGGAUUGUAAACUUCUUUUGUAAAGGAAUAAAACGAGGCACGUGUGCCUUUUUGCGUGUACUUUAUGAAUAAGGAUCGGCUAACUCCGUGCCAGCAGCCGCGGUAAUACGGAGGAUCCGAGCGUUAUCCGGAUUUAUUGGGUUUAAAGGGAGCGUAGAUGGGUUGUUAAGUCAGUUGUGAAAGUUUGGGGCUCAACCGUAAAAGUGCAAUUGAUACUGGCAGUCUGGAGUACAGGUGAGGUAGGCGGAAUGCGCGGUGUAGCGGUGAAAUGCUUAGAUAUCACGCAGAACCCCGAUUGCGAAGGCAGCUUAACAAACCGUGACUGACACUGAUGCACGAAAGUGUGGGUAUCAAACAGGAUUAGAUACCCGUGUAGUC
rnacentral:rRNA from 1 species